rnacentral:rRNA from 1 species
GACGAACGCUGGCGGCGUGCUUAACACAUGCAAGUCGAACGGAAAGGCCCUGCUUUUGCGGGGUGCUCGAGUGGCGAACGGGUGAGUAACACGUGUGUAACCUGCCCUUGACUUUGGGAUAACUUCUGGAAACUGCGGCUAAUACCCGAUAGGAUCUACUGCUGCAUGGUGGGGGUUGGAAAGUUUCGGCGGUUGGGGAUGGACUCGCGGCUUAUCAGCUUGUUGGUGGGGUAGGUGCUUACCAAGGAUUUGACGGGUAGCCGGCCUGAGAGGGUGACCGGCCACAUUGGGACUGAGAUACGGCCCAGACUCCUACGGGAGGCAGCAGUGGGGAAUAUUGCACAAUGGGCGGAAGCCUGAUGCAGCAACGCCGCGUGCGGGAUGACGGCCUUCGGGUUGUAAACCGCUUUCGCCUGUGACGAAGCGUGAGUGACGGUAAUGGGUAAAGAAGCACCGGCUAACUACGUG